rnacentral:rRNA from 1 species
GGGGCUUUGGCUCCCGCUAUCGGAUGAGCCUAUGUCGGAUUAGCUAGUUGGUGAGGUAAAGGCUCACCAAGGCAACGAUCCGUAGCUGGUCUGAGAGGAUGAUCAGCCACAUCGGGACUGAGACACGGCCCGAACUCCUACGGGAGGCAGCAGUGGGGAAUAUUGGACAAUGGGGGCAACCCUGAUCCAGCCAUGCCGCGUGUGUGAAGAAGGCCCUCGGGUUGUAAAGCACUUUCAGCGAGGAAGAACGCCUAGCGGUUAAUACCCGCUAGGAAAGACAUCACUCGCAGAAGAAGCACCGGCUAACUCCGUGCCAGCAGCCGCGGUAAUACGGAGGGUGCAAGCGUUAAUCGGAAUUACUGGGCGUAAAGCGCGCGUAGGUGGCUUGAUAAGCCGGUUGUGAAAGCCCCGGGCUCAACCUGGGAACGGCAUCCGGAACUGUCAAGCUAGAGUGCAGGAGAGGAAGGUAGAAUUCCCGGUGUAGCGGUGAAAUGCGUAGAGAUCGGGAGGAAUACCAGUGGCGAAGGCGGCCUUCUGGACUGACACUGACACUGAGGUGC